GACAGAGGUGGCGACCGUUGUUCGGAAUCACUGGGCAUAAAGCGCGCGUAGGCGGUGAAGUAAGUCGGGUGUGAAAUCCCUCGGCCCAACCGAGGAACUGCGCUCGAAACUACUUCGCUGGAGGGCAGGAGGGGAGCGUGGAAUUCCUGGUGGAGCGGUGAAAUGCGUUGAUAUCAGGAGGAACACCGGCGGCGAAGGCGACGCUCUGGUCUGCUACUGACGCUGAGGCGCGAAAGCUAGGGGAGCAAACGGGAUUAG
rnacentral:rRNA from 1 species